AAGUAAGGUAAAUGGCCUUUAAAAACGUCGUGUCGUUAUCAUGAUAAUUCCAGUUAUUGGUUGUCAGACCAAAGACUAAAAGGAAGUCAAUGAGAUUAAGCCCUGACCCAUCAACAGCCAUGAGAAUUUUCUAUAAUCCUUUGAAAACCAUGAAAGCACUCCCAAGUCAUUAGCAAAACUUUUUCAGGGGAUCUUUUGGGAAAUCGCUAAUAAAGGCAAUGGCCACGUGGCAAAGAUAUUCAGGGGACUGUGAGGCUGGUGGCAGUGACAGCAGAAAUGCUGUCCACUAGGAAGUCUUGAUAAAUUAAGUGUGAAAGACCAAAAGUGGGGGCCCCUUGGAUUGGAAAAUCCUGUCCAGGCCCGUGGAGUUGGGUGGGAAAAAAGAGGAGUUUAUUGUUUAUUUUUAAUUUUUUUUAUUAAAGUAUAGUUGAUUUACAAUGUUCCUUCAGUUUCUCUGUACUCACCUCUCCCCGUCUCCACAACUAGUCGCUUCGUCUCUCCCAUGAUUUUGCAAAAUUAUCUUUUUAUCCAUGUUGUCUUCUAGAACGUCUGCCAUUUCAUCUCACAUCUAGGCGUCAGAUUCUUUUCUUUCCCCCUUUUGGCCACCCCUUGGCAUAUGGAGUUCUCCGCCCAGGGAUCAGAUCUGAGCCGCAGUUGCGACCUAAGCUACAGGGUUAGGGUUAGGGUUAGGGCAAUGCUGGAUCCUUAACCCACUGUGCCAGCCAGGGAUGGAACUUGCAUCCCAGCACUCCCAAGACGCCGCCGCCAAUCCCUUUGUGCCAUAGUGGGAGCUCCUAGAUAUCAUAUUCUUCUGGCAAUUAUUCUUGUGUAAAGUUCAAGAAACAGGUGAGAUUUUACUUUGGGUGCUAUGGCUGCCUGCCUGGACAGACCUCUUCCUUGUGCAAGGACCCAACGUGGUGAGCAUGGCUUUGCUGGGGCCCACCCCACGCUCCGUCUUGGUCUGGCGCUGUCAUUUGGGGCACAGUUUGCACAGCUGUCUGCAGCCUCUGAUCUUAUCUCUAAUCCCGUUUCCCGUGUCUCUCUGAAGAGCUUUGGAAGAAGGAAAUAUGAUGCAAUCACUGCCUCAUGGCUUCAGGAACAUCCAGGCACACUGCCUCUGCUUUGAGCUGCUCCAUCCUUCCUGCUCUGCCUCACACGCUGUCUUCUCUUGCCCUUCUCACCCGACUCAGGCACCUCCCACCUCUGGGCCUUUGCACGUGCUGCCCCCCUGCCCCCACCUCCUUUGGCUCAGCUGCUCUUUUACCCACACAGUCUCACCCUCUAAAUCUCAGGGGGAGACCUCACUUCUUCCAUGGGCUUCCUUGCCCUUGGCCAAGCUUGGUUUGUGUGCCUCCGGUGCACCCAUGGGUUAGUCCCUCAGUGGGUCUCCCUAUGCUUUAGCAUUUGCUCCUCUCCCUGCCAGCCUGAAAGAUCUCCCAGGAUCAGGUCGGUACCUUUUCACACAAUAGUCCCAGCAUCAGGUACCAUGCCCCGCACGUGGGCAGCACCCAGGAAAUCUCUGUCAGCUUAACAAGGGGCAUCACCUCAGAGCAAGGCUUAGCUGUUGUUGGCAACCGAGGGCUCAUCAGGUGCCAGCUCUUGUGUCUCCUUCAAAUACCCCUUGAGGUGAGUGCUCUUCUCAUCCUCAUUUGGGAGGUGAUGGGGAAAUGACGGGAUGGGUCCAAGGUCUCACUUCCAGUAGGAUGGAGCCAGCUUUUAAGUCCAGGGCACCCUGGUCUCAGAUACUUGCUCUGAAUCACCACUCGGUGUCACCUCUCUGCAAACACAGGGAUCAACCUAAAGAGGACAGGGAGGUAAAAGUGGCCUGUCCUUCCCCAUCUUUCCUGCUUUGGGUGCAGGCAGGAGGGGAGGGGCUGGGUGCAGAAAGGUGGCCUGAAGUGUGAUUGGCCAGAUGGGAACAAAGGACAUCAGUGGGGGAAACUAACAAGGGCUGGCCUGUGUGCCUUGGAAAGAUCCUCUGGGAGAGCAGGACCAGGGCUGUCUCUGGAGGGAGGGUGGGAUGAAGCGUUAUGGAGAAAGUCCCUCUUGAGGUGGAUCUGAUGUCAGAGGGGUCUGGAGCACAGAUUCUGGGUGUUUCUAGGGGAGCUUUAUGGUUUACACCUUGGCCAGCGUCCGGCUUUAAUUGUGAGGUUUUGAAGCACAGCCCCGAGAAAGAAGCUGUUCCUUGAAGCCCGUGAGUUCAGAAACACAGAUGUAAUAUUGCUGCUCAGAACUACUCAAGGAGUAAUUUUGAGCAAGUUUCCCCCCCGCGAUUUAUUGGACAGGUCUGGAGCUUUGCAAAAUAGAUUUCAUUCAACUCAUAUUUUGGUUCUUAAUCCCCCUUUAUGCCCAAUUCUUCACAUUUCCAUUCGGUAUUUCAGGACCUAUCUAAAUAAAUCAUGAGAGCUUAAUGGAAAAAUCAAAAUCAAAUUAAACAAAUGGGUUAACUGUUCAGCUGCUAGGUUUUACUUCAGCUGUUACAGGGUUAGGAAAAAGUGCAGAGCAAUUUAUAACUAACCCGUCUGCUCAGGGAGAGACCUCUAUGUCAGCCGUACCCUCCUGGGCAUACUUAACCCAUCUCAGAUGACACAUGGAGAAAACAUCUGUUCUUUGGCAAAUACCUACACAAGAACAAUUCAAAUCGCAAACCCAAAUCAAUAGCAAACGUACAUCCUGCUGCAUUUUAAAUAGGAAUAGGAGAUCUUGCAAUGCAGAAUCCAUUGCAAGGCUUUAAAGUUUACCAAGCUUACUGCUCAGAAGGGAGUUAAAUUCCACCAAAUGGAGAGAUUUAAAGGCAGAAAGAAUCUGAGGGUGAAGAAAUGUGUUUCUCUGAACUCAUCCUUCUCUUUGGGGUCACAAAGGCUCUCAGACCUCUAUACGACUCUAUUUCUCUCCCACUUCACCCCUGCUUUACUAGCUAGGGUGCCAUGCCACUCACAUUACCACUGCUGGUCAAGUCCCUGAAAAGGCAAUUUCCCCUCAUUUCAUUAGACUCUUUUCUUGCCCUUGUUUCACCUUCCAUCUUUCCUUUCUUUACUUUGAUAUGUUGAAGAAUCAUCUUCAUUGGUGGCGAAUUAGAUUUUCCUGUAGUAACAACCUCAAAUUUUGAUGGCUUAUGAAAGCAAAUAUUAAUUUCGUGCAUCCUGGGUCAGCCGAGGCUCAGCUGUGUCUUGCUAGACUCCACUGCACUUGGCCAGGCUUGGUUCCAAGCUUCAGGUCAGGUUCAGGUCUGCUCCUUGUAUCUUUCAUGUGGAGAUCCAGGCUGGAGGAUGGCAGGAAGGCAAGACAGGACAUGAAAAGAGGCCUCUCAGAGCCUCUUCUUAGUACUCAGCCACAUGCUAGCUGGUGUGCCAUAUUCUACUGGUCAAGGCAAGUCACGUGACCAAGGCCAACGUCAAGGAGAUGGGGAGAGAUAGCCCAUCCUGAGAAAGGAGCAUGAGUACUGGCUGAAGAAGAGCAUGGCUACUCUAAGUGGGAGGGUGUGGAGUGCAGGGGUCUCUCAUUUGUUUUCCAUUGAGGAAAAUCCAGUAGUUCUCCAACUUGUGCUCUGUUAUUACGCCCUGCCCUUAUUUUCAGUGCUCAAGGUUAGUGCCUCCACUUCUCUGGAGAAAGAAGGCGGAGUGAAGUAUUCCCAGUCACCAGUAAUCAUGGAGAUACUUAGAGUGUAUCGUGGAACUACUACGUGCACAAGCCCUUUGUGUGUAACUCCUAUAGUGAGCAGUCAUUUCAGGCUUUGCAAACAAUACAACUUUUGAUGGCUGUUCCAUUUCAGUUUCUGUUUAGUGUAAGCUGCAGAAGCAAUCUUAGUCACUUUGGGGUUGGGGCUGAUGGAAAGGGGUGUGGUGGAUAAUCACCUGUCAGCAUGUGCCCUGUCCCGUCCCCACCUGGCCUCCAGACAGGGAUGUAGGGGGCCCUGCUUCCUCCAGCUCAUUCUGAUGAGGCUCCUUUGCCUUGCUCUGGUCCUCCGAAAACAUCAAGCUGUAAUGUCUGCCUUGAUACGCCACGUACUAAUUUCUGCUCUGUUACUUCCCUUGGGCUCAAGGCACUUCGAGGUCUUAUGGAUUUCAAAGGUUUUACACGGGCUCUUGGGUCUUCCCAGCUAGCGGGGUUACUCUCUGUCAUCUUCCCUCUCUGGGCUUAGCCCCAGAUGGCCCAGGAGGAGCAAGAGGCAGGGCGCUUUCCGGAACCACAUGGCAAUGACCCACUCUCUUGACCGCCUUUCCCUUUCUUCUCUCAACCGACGGGAUUUCAUUUCCGUUCAGUUGGGCUGACCUGGCUGCAUAGCAUCUUCCCAAAUGUAUUGUUUAGGGCACAGUUUUAUGCUCUGAGACCUUCACCUUCAUCACAGGUAGAGAAGUUGAUUCUCUACAGCUCCUAUUUGACCCCUAGCCUGGGAACCUCCACAUGGCAUGGGUGUGGCCCUAAAAAGUAAGUAAGUAAAUAAAUACAUAAAUAAAUACAAUUUAAAAAGCAGUCUAGGAGUUCCCGUCGUGGUGCAGUGGUUAACGAAUCCGACUAGGAACCAUGAGGUUGCGGGUUCGGUCCCUGUCCUUGCUCAGUGGGCUAAGGGUCCGGUGUUCCCGUGAGCUGUGGUGUAGGUUGCAGACGCGGCUCAGAUCCCGCGUUGCUGUGGCUCUGGCGUAGGCCGGUGACUACAGCUCCGACUGGACCCCUAGCCUGGGAACCUCCAUAUGCCGCGGGAGCGGCCCAAGAAAUA
rnacentral:lncRNA from 1 species